AAUAUCUAGGAGAAAAAACAGCAGCACAGAUCUGAGAAAUAAAUGGUAUCUGACAGGUAUAUAAUGCAACAGUGCAGUGAGAAAUCGGUUACUUGACUUCUUGUAACUGCUAUUUCUGGAAUAGCAAAGUCUACUACACUUCUUUUAACAGAAAAGACAACCAAAUUUGUAUAUUAUGUAUUACAAAUCUGAACAAGAAGAAGUCAUUGGUGAAGAGAUUAUGCUGCUCCACUAGUAGAAUAUCAUAGAAUCAUUACGGUUGGAAAAGACCUCCAAGAUCAUCUGGUUGAACCAUCCAUCUGAUCUGAAACAUAUUUCAGACUAGGGGAUAAGAAGUAACUUAAUGGCACACUAGAAAAGACUUCUCUUGACUGGACAGAAAACUCAAGGUACCUCUUACUUUAAAACAGUGUUAGCAAUUGGCUAUGUUUCAUUUUUACCAUUUGUCCCCAAUAAUCCUCUUUUUUUUUUUUCGUCAUUUUUUAAUGACAAAAGACAUGCUGUGCCAAAUUACAAUCAACAUAUGAGCAUGAGAAACCAAGAUAGCACUCCAAUAGUUUGGACUGUAUAUUACUUUUUUUUUUUUUAGGUGGGAUGAAACAUUUGAUGUUAAUCUUUUUGACAGAAGGCUUCAAAAUUCUUUGCAAGUCACAAGACAACUGUCACCUGUUUGCAAAAUACCUUUUAAGGAACCAUCCAAGAAUUGUACAAAAUGGUCAAAGUGGAACAACACUUGUGAAAAAAAUCAGAUGUAGUCAAGACUCACACAGAACUUGAAGUGACCAUAAAUUUUGGUGUUUGACAGAUUAACUGAUAUGACUAUCCAAAGGUCCUCGUGUAGUCCUUCUUAUAAGCUGCCUAUAUGGACUAGUCUAUAAAGUAUUUCUGCUAGAAACAUGAGGAAUAUGUGACUGCAACAUACUUUUCUUACUACAGCCUGCAUACAGAAUGUUCUUUAAAUGAGCACAGAAUGUGCUUCAGAAUGAAAGAUUCUCAGUGAAAGCUAGUAGUUAAAAUUAAUAUCCACUUGAUGUGAAAAUGGAACAAACAUCAGAAGGACCAAGCAUUUUGCUUGGCUAAAGAAACUGCAGUUCUCAAGAGGAGGAAUUUAUCUACGUUGGGAAUUUGUUAAUAGAUAAUUGAUGUAUACAAUGGAUAUGCAUAUACCAUUUGGAUUUUUUUUCUACUGUAGCUUCACGCAAUUUUUGGCAUUGUAAUCUUUCAAGAUGUCAAUGCUUCUUUAUACAUUUCAUGCGCUUAUAUGUAAAGUAUGUUUAAAUAAGCCACUGUUUUCAGUAGAUCCUGCUUUUUCAGUGAAACUCUCGUUUUGAAUAUUGUGGUUGUCAGAAUUCUGAAGCAGCAAUGCAAUAAAAGAAGUUGUAUAAGAUCUUUUAUAUACAGAAACCUAGAUGUACACUUUGCAUAUAUGUACAAGUGCUUUUCUCUGGUUACAGUGUUUGCAGUCUAGUGCUAGUAAUCUUUACUAUGAAAGGACUUUCUAUUUUUAAUCCUUUAGAUAAUUUUUCUUUAUAAAGAAAUAUAAUUAAAAGUGACUUUAUUGCGAACAGUUUUGAAGUGCUGAAAUUACACAUGCUGCCUAUUUUUCAAAGCCUGUUACUGCUAAUGAGUUUUUUAUCAUUAUUCUGCAAAGAAUGGUGAUGUUAUGAAUUGGUAUGUUAUAUUGUCAACAAGCAUUGUUUUUGAAGAAAAGGUUUGAAGAUAUUCAAAACUAUCACUGUUGCAACAAAUCUAUUGCUUUCUUUUAAAUAGUUGCGCCAUCCAUUACAGUCCUUUGAAUUCUGACAGUAAUUCAGGCAAACAGGAGGAACCAAAGACCAGAUGAUGCUUGUGUAGCAGGCAUUUUUCUGUUCAUUGCCAAGUGCACAGUUCACUGUUCGGUCACCUGUGUCGGCUGGUUUAGUGCCUUUAAUGCAGUUCUCUGCAUGCUCCCUAUUCUAUAAAGCUUACUUGGGGACUUCAGACAUGGCCUGUCUUAUUAUUCCCUAAGGAAGGGUAAGGCCUUUACUGUCCAGCUGGAAGGAUCACUAAUUAGAGCCCUUGCUUUGGCACAGAGUGUGUCAAGCCUGCAAGCCUUCCUGCUGGGAUCAAUGGCAUUCAUGUUUGCUUUCAUGAAUGCACAAUGGACAGGGAUCUUGGCAAAGAACUGCCUAUUUAGCUUGUGCUGAGAAGCUGAGUCUUCACAACAUUUUAAAGUAAUUGUAGAGGUAGAAAGGGAGCUAUAAGAAUACACCCUUAUUAUUCUGCUCAAAAAAAAAAAAAAAAAAAAAAA